rnacentral:rRNA from 1 species
AGCGAACGCUGGCGGCAGGCCUAACACAUGCAAGUCGAACGAACCUUUCGGGGUUAGUGGCGGACGGGUGAGUAACACGUGGGAACGUGCCUUUAGGUUCGGAAUAACUCAGGGAAACUUGUGCUAAUACCGAAUGUGCCCUUCGGGGGAAAGAUUUAUCGCCUUUAGAGCGGCCCGCGUCUGAUUAGCUAGUUGGUUAAGGUAAUGGCUCACCAAGGCGACGAUCAGUAGUUGGUCUGAGAGGAUGAUCAGCCACAUUGGGACUGAGACACGGCCCAAACUCCUACGGGAGGCAGCAGUGGGGGAUCUUGCGCGAUGGGCGAAAGCCUGACGCAGCCAUGCCGCGUGAAUGAUGAAGGUCUUAGGAUUGUAAAGUUCUUUCACCGGGGACGAUAAUGACGGUACCCGGAGAAGAAGCCCCGGCUAACUUCGUG